rnacentral:rRNA from 1 species
UACGGAGGGUGCAAGCGUUGUCCGGAUUUAUUGGGUUUAAAGGGUGCGUAGGCGGUCCAUUAAGUCUGGGGUGAAAGCCCGUUGCUCAACAACGGAACUGCCCUGGAAACUGGUGGACUUGAGUACAGACGAGGGUGGCGGAAUGGAUGGUGUAGCGGUGAAAUGCAUAGAUACCAUCCAGAACCCCGAUUGCGAAGGCAGCUGCCUAGACUGUAACUGACGCUGAGGCACGAAAGCGUGGGGAGCGAACAGG